AACAGGAUUAGAUACCCUGGUAGUCCACGCUGUAAACGAUGUCGAUUUGGAGGUUGUGCCCUUGAGGCGUGGCUUCCGGAGCUAACGCGUUAAAUCGACCGCCUGGGGAGUACGGCCGCAAGGUUAAAACUCAAAUGAAUUGACGGGGGCCCGCACAAGCGGUGGAGCAUGUGGUUUAAUUCGAUGCAACGCGAAGAACCUUACCUACUCUUGACAUCCAGAGAACUUUCCAGAGAUGGAUUGGUGCCUUCGGGAACUCUGAGACAGGUGCUGCAUGGCUGUCGUCAGCUCGUGUUGUGAAAUGUUGGGUUAAGUCCCGCAACGAGCGCAACCCUUAUCCUUUGUUGCCAGCGGUUCGGCCGGGAACUCAAAGGAGACUGCCAGUGAUAAACUGGAGGAAGGUGGGGAUGACGUCAAGUCAUCAUGGCCCUUACGAGUAGGGCUACACACGUGCUACAAUGGCGUAUACAAAGAGAAGCGACCUCGCGAGAGCAAGCGGACCUCAUAAAGUACGUCGUAGUCCGGAUUGGAGUCUGCAACUCGACUCCAUGAAGUCGGAAUCGCUAGUAAUCGUAGAUCAGAAUGCUACGGUGAAUACGUUCCCGGGCCUUGUACACACCGCCCGCCACACCAUGGGAGUGGGUUGCAAAAGAAGUAGGUAGCUUAACCUUCGGGAGGGCGCUUACCACUUUGUGAUUCAUGACUGGGGUGAAGUCGUAACAAGGUAACCGUACGGGAACCUGCGGCUGGAUCACCUCCUU
rnacentral:rRNA from 1 species